UUAGCCUACUUAUGGAAUCUGGCAGCAGGAGACUAUAAAUAUGCAUAUAUCUAUAUAUUUAUCUGUGUGUGUAUAUAUAUAUAUGUAGGUACAUCCUGGAAUUCUUGUGUCAUUAUUAUUUCUUUGUUCCUCCUAUAGAUUAUAUCAAAUCGAAUCCCUAAAAUGGAAGAAGCCAAAAGUCAAAGUUUGGAGGAAGACUUUGAAGGACAGGCCACACAUACAGGCAAGCAAAGCAAGAAGAAAAAAUAAUUAUUAACUUAAAAUUAAAUAUGGCAAUAUCUAAUGUUCUUAUUGACAUUAUUCAGUAUGUACUUUAAGUAAUAUCUUUAUAUAAAUUGUUAGACUAAUCUAAAAAAUAUUUGAGUGGGCAAAUUAGUUUUUGAAAUCAAAUAAUUCCUAACAGUUUUAUUUAGAUGUCAAAGAGUAAAAAAAACACUAAUUAUUGGUAAUUUCUUGAUGACCAACUAUCACAAGACCUCUUAUCUACACUAUAAUUAAGUCACUUUCCUCUCUCCUGAUUGUACCCCACCCUCACUACAAACUUUCACUGUAAACAAGGUUAGACCAAAAGGUAACUAAAUGGCCUUUAAUUUCAGUUUUCUAAUCUCAAAAAAAAAGGGAAUGAUAAGAUAGUCCCUUUAUUUUUUUGAAUAAAUAAAUUUCAGUAUUCCUCCAGAAAACCUAACAGUUCAUUUCAUCCAGAGUCUGUUUUCUUAAUCUGUUAAAUUAUGUUUGGCUAUCUAUAUGCCACUCCUAAGAGCUUAAAAAACUUAAAUAUCAUGACUUAAAUUUAAAAAUUCCCAUUUAACUCUAUUGAAUCUUAUUUGAAUGGUAAUUUCCUCUCUCUUUUAAUUUGGAUUGAGCCAUUAAAUUUAGCCAGAAGCUUGAAAGAAUUCACAAGACUACCAGCCAAAAUGUGUGGAGAUUUAUUUUAUAAUAGCAAUGUGAGGAAUACCUUCCUAAAUAUGACAAAAACAAAAACAACAACAAAAAGACCACUGAAGAAAAGGACCUAAAGGAGUAAUAAACGACUGGAGAAAGUUUAAAUUAGAGAGUCAAGACAGUGAUUCAAUUCCACCUAGCAAGAAGGAGAUUCUCAGGCAAAUGUCUUCUCCUCAGAGUAGGAAUGGCAAAGAUUCAAAGGAACGAGUCAGCAGAAAGGUAAGAUAAUACAAAAAUCAGUAACAAAUAAUUUACAAUGUGUUUUCUAAUCUAAAUCAAUCUAGAGAAUCAUUUUAGACUAUUACAAAAUAUAUUGAUUACAAUAUUGCUUAUGCUGGCAAAAAAAAAAAUGGAAAUGAAGUGAAUGCCUAUUGUGGCCUUCCAUACCAAGAAUACCUACAGUUAUGGAAAGAAUUAGUUACAAAUACAUGAGUUGAUCUAGAGGUAGUUUCACAAUAUGAGAAAGCAAAAUACAGAAAAUUCCAUCUGGGGAAUCAUAACAAACCUGCUCCACUUGUUUUGAAAACAUAUAAAGAAAAAAUAAAUGUAAAACUAUGUUGAAACAUGUAAAAUACUACACUAAUGUGACACAUAAUCAUUAUUAAAAAUUGUAUGCCAAGGUUAAACUUUGGAAAUGUAUCUGAAUGCCUACAUAUCUAUAUGCCUGAAUAUGUGAAUGAAACAAGUUUUCAUAUAAAUACUCAAAUACAUCUUCAAGUCAAAUUUGUGUGGUUUGGUCUGUUAAAUUAACAGAACUAUAGCAGCAACAUACAAAUUAUAUAAAACACUGGAAAUUUUUAGGGUUAAAACUAAAUUGGGACAAUAUUAUUAUUAUUAUCAUUAUUAUUAUUAUUAUUACUAUUAUUAUUAUUUUGAGACAG